UACGUAGGGUGCGAGCGUUAAUCGGAAUUACUGGGCGUAAAGCGUGCGUAGGCGGUUCUCCAAGUCCGUUGUGAAAGCCCCGGGCUCAACCUGGGAAUGGCAGUGGAAACUAGGGGACUGGAAUCUGGCAGAGGGGGGGUGGAAUGCCGCGUGUAGCAGUGAAAUGCGUAGAGAUGCGGAGGAACACCGAUGGCGAAGGCAGCCCCCUGGGCUAACACUGACGCCUCAGGCACGAAAGCGUGGGGAGCAAACAGG
rnacentral:rRNA from 1 species